rnacentral:sRNA from 2 species
AAAAUUCGAUCGCCGAAGCCGUCAACGUAUAACGGCACGGGGGAACCAAUGCUCGCGAACCUUUUCGCGGCAGGGGCUAAUCGACAAAAUUGUCGAGGGGAUACUCUUUCGUUCCUAGCCCGUCAGCUAACCUCGUAGGUGUGGCAAAGAAGUUAC